UACGGAGGGUGCGAAGCGUUAUCCGGCAUUCACUGGGUUUAAAGGGUGCGUAGGUGGGCUGGUAAGUCCGUGGUGAAAUCUCCAGCUUAACUUGGAAACUGCCGUGGAUACUAUUAGUCUUGAAUCUCGUGGAGGUAAGCGGAAUAUGUCAUGUAGCGGUGAAAUGCUUAGAUAUGACAUAGAACACCGAUAGCGAAGGCAGCUUGCUACACGAGUAUUGACACUGAGGCACGAAAGCGUGGGGAUCAAACAGG
rnacentral:rRNA from 1 species